UACGUAGGGGGCUAGCGUUGUCCGGAAUCAUUGGGCGUAAAGAGCGUGUAGGCGGUCCGGUAAGUCCGCUGUGAAAGUCGGGGGCUCAACCCUCGAAUGCCGGUGGAUACUGUCGGGCUAGAGUACGGAAGAGGCGAGUGGAAUUCCUGGUGUAGCGGUGAAAUGCGCAGAUAUCAGGAGGAACACCAAUUGCGAAGGCAGCUCGCUGGGACGCUACUGACGCUGAGACGCGAAAGCGUGGGGAGCAAACAGG
rnacentral:rRNA from 1 species